rnacentral:rRNA from 1 species
AACGAACGCUGGCGGCGUGGAUAAGACAUGCAAGUCGAACGGGACUAAAUCUGUAGCAAUACAGGUUUAGUUUAGUGGCGAACGGGUGCGUAACACGUGGGCAAUCUGCCGAGAAGUGGGGGAUAGCUCGCCGAAAGGCGAAUUAAUACCGCAUAUGAUCAGUGAAGACAUCUUCACGACAUCAAAGCCGGGGCAACCUGGCGCUUCUUGAUGAGCCCGCGGCCUAUCAGCUAGUUGGUGAGGUAACGGCUCACCAAGGCUAUGACGGGUAGCUGGUCUGAGAGGACGACCAGUCACACUGGAACUGAGACACGGUCCAGACACCUACGGGUGGCAGCAGUCGAGUAAUUUUUC